rnacentral:rRNA from 1 species
GACAGAGGGUGCGAACGUUGCUCGGAAUCACUGGGCGUAAAGCGCGCGUAGGCGGACAAGAAAGUUGGGUGUGAAAUCCCUGGGCUCAACCCAGGAACUGCAUCCAAAACUUCUUGUCUGGAGUGACGGAGAGGAUAGUGGAAUUCCCGGUGUAGAGGUGAAAUUCGUAGAUAUCGGGAGGAACACCAGUGGCGAAGGCGGCUAUCUGGACGUCCACUGACGCUGAGGCGCGAAAGCGUGGGGAGCAAACAGGG